GAUUCCGCCUUUAAUUGUUAAUUGCAUGCCAUAUGAUGUUGCUCAAAUGAACAUGUUUUUCAAAAUAAUCCCUUCAAGUGGUAUCAGAGCCUAGGUCUAGUAGUUGGUGAAUCAUUUUGGGUUUUGUAGUUCAUAAGUUUAUGAUUUAAAAGUUGUAAUUGUUACAAGCUUUAUUCUUGCUUCUUUGAAUGUAAAUUUUGUUUGAAAAUUUGCCAUCUCAAAUGUUGUAGAUGUAGUUCAUAUGAGGAUGAAUAUUGGAGCUAAAAUUUGGUGCCAUGUUUUUGGGGAUUUUCGGCCAAAUCCAAAGGGUGAUUUUUUGGGUUCAUGUUUGUCUUGUUAAAAUG
rnacentral:lncRNA from 1 species